GCUUUGUUCUGCAGGUAGGGCUGGGCUUUUCAUUGACCAUGGGUUGGAAUAGUUCUGUGGGCAUAGUGUGUCUUCGAAGCCACUAUGUUUUCUGCACUUGUGACUACAGAGCACCUUGAUAGCUCAGUUGGUAGAGCGGUGGACUGUAAGAUGCUCCUUGUGUGAAAUGCUGUGAUCCUAAGGUCGCUGGUUCAACUCCAGCUCCAAGCACCUCCUUGUCAUUGGAAAUACCCCAAAGCCUUGUCUUUAUCUGUCAACUCCUCCAAAAUGUCAAAACACAAAGACGAUAACUCUUUCUUAAAUUUUCAACCAUCAAUUUUUUAUUCACCCAGCCUAAAAGUCCUGAUUAUCAGUUCUGGGUCCCUGGCAAUGACUGUUGGGUACAAACUGCAAAGCUUUGUUCUGCAGGUAGGGCUGGGCUUUUCAUUGACCAUGGGUUGGAAUAGUUCUGUGGGCAUAGUGUGUCUUUGAAGCCACUAUGUUUUCUGCACUUGUGACUACAGAGCACCUUGAUAGCUCAGUUGGUAGAGCGGUGGACUGUAAGAUGCUCCUUGUGUGAAACGCCGUGAUCCUAAGGUCGCUGGUUCAACUCCAGCUCCAAGCACCCCCUUGUCAUUGGAAAUACCCCCAAGCCUUGUCUUUAUCUGUCAACUCCUCCAAAAUGUCAAAACACAAAGAAGAUAACUCUUUCUUAAAUUUUCAACCAUCAAUUUUUUAUUCACCCAGCCUAAAAGUCCUGAUUAUCAGUUCUGGGUCCCUGGCAAUGACUGUUGGGUACAAACUGCAAAGCUUUGUUCUGCGGAUAGGGCUGGGCUUUUCAUUGACCAUGGGUUGGAAUAGUUCUGUGGGCAUAGUGUGUCUUCGAAGCCACUAUGUUUUCUGCACUUGUGACUAGAGAGCACCUUGAUAGCUCAGUUGGUAGAGCGGUGGACUGUAAGAUGCUCCUUGUGUCAAACGCUGUGAUCCUAAGGUCGCUGGUUCAACUCCAGCUCCAAGCACCUCCUUGUCAUUGGAAAUACCCCCAAGCCUUGUCUUUAUCUGUCAACUCCUCCAAAAUGUCAAAACACAAACAAGAUAACUCUUUCUUAAAUUUUCAACCAUCAAUUUUUUAUUCGCCCAGCCUAAAAGUCCUGAUUAUCAGUUCUGGGUCCCUGGCAAUGACUGUUGGGUACAAACUGCAAAGCUUUGUUCUGCAGGUAGGGCUGGGCUUUUCAUUGACCAUGGGUUGGAAUAGUUCUGUGGGCAUAGUGUGUCUUUGAAGCCACUAUGUUUUCUGCACUUGUGACUAGAGAGCACCUUGAUAGCUCAGUUGUUAGAGCGGUGGACUGUAAGAUGCUCCUUGUGUGAAACGCUGUGAUCCUAAGGUCGCUGGUUCAACUCCACCUCCAAGCACCUCCUUGUCAUUGGAAAUACCCCCAAGCCUUGUCUUUAUCUGUCAACUCCUCCAAAAUGUCAAAACACAAAGAAGAUAACUCUUUCUUAAAUUUUCAACCAUCAAUUUUUUAUUCACCCAGACUAAAAGUCCUGAUUAUCAGUUCUGGGUCCCUGGCAAUGACUGUUGGGUACAAACUGCAAAGCUUUGUUCUGCAGGUAGGGCUGGGCUUUUCAUUGACCAUGGGUUGGAAUAGUUCUGUGGGCAUAGUGUGUCUUCGAAGCCACUAUGUUUUCUGCACUUGUGACUAGAGAGCACCUUGAUAGCUCAGUUGGUAGAGCGGUGGACUGUAAGAUGCUCCUUGUGUGGAACGCUGUGAUCCUAAGGUCGCUGGUUCAACUCCAGCUCCAAGCACCUCCUUUCAUUGGAAAUACCCCCAAGCCUUGUCUUUAUCUGUCAACUCCUCCAAAAUGUCAAAACACAAAGAAGAUAACUCUUUCUUAAAUUUUCAACCAUCAAUUUUUUAUUCGCCCAGACUAAAAGUCCUGAUUAUCAGUUCUGGGUCCCUGGCAAUGACUGUUGGGUACAAACUGCAAAGCUUUGUUCUGCAGGUAGGGCUGGGCUUUUCAUUGACCAUGGGUUGGAAUAGUUCUGUGGGCAUAGUGUGUCUUCGAAGCCACUAUGUUUUCUGCACUUGUGACUAGAGAGCACCUUGAUAGCUCAGUUGGUAGAGCGGUGGACUGUAAGAUGCUCCUUGUGUGAAAUGCUGUGAUCCUAAGGUCGCUGGUUCAACUCCAGCUCCAAGCACCUCCUUGUCAUUGGAAAUACCCCCAAGCCUUGUCUUUAUCUGUCAACUCCUCCAAAAUGUCAAAACACAAAGAAGAUAACUCUUUCUUAAAUUUUCAACCAUCAAUUUUUUAUUCACUCAGCCUAAAAGUCCUGAUUAUCAGUUCUGGGUCCCUGGCAAUGACUGUUGGGUACAAACUGCAAAGCUUUGUUCUGCAGGUAGGGCUGGGCUUUUCAUUGACCAUGGGUUGGAAUAGUUCUGUGGGCAUAGUGUGUCUUCGAAGCCACUAUGUUUUCUGCACUUGUGACUAGAGAGCACCUUGAUAGCUCAGUUGGUAGAGCGGUGGACUGUAAGAUGCUCCUUGUGUGAAACGCUGUGAUCCUAAGGUUCGCUGGUUCAACUCCAGCUCCAAGCACCUCCUUGUCAUUGGAAAUACCCCCAAGCCUUGUCUUUAUCUGUCAACUCCUCCAAAAUGUCAAAACACAAACAAGAUAACUCUUUCUUAAAUUUUCAACCAUCAAUGUUUUAUUCACCCAGCCUAAAAGUCCUGAUUAUCAGUUCUGGGUCCCUGGCAAUGACUGUUGGGUACAAACUGCAAAGCUUUGUUCUGCAGGUAGGGCUGGGCUUUUCAUUGACCAUGGGUUGGAAUAGUUCUGUGGGCAUAGUGUGUCUUCGAAGCCACUAUGUUUUCUGCACUUGUGACUAGAGAGCACCUUGAUAGCUCAGUUGGUAGAGCGGUGGACUGUAAGAUGCUCCUUGUGGGAAACGCCGUGAUCCUAAGGUCGCUGGUUCAACUCCAGCUCCAAGCACCUCCUUGUCAUUGGAAAUACCCCCAAGCCUUGUCUUUAUCUGUCAACUCCUCCAAAAUGUCAAAACACAAAGAAGAUAACUCUUUCUUAAAUUUUCAACCAUCAAUUUUUUAUUCACCCAGCCUAAAAGUCCUGAUUAUCAGUUCUGGGUCCCUGGCAAUGACUGUUGGGUACAAACUGCAAAGCUUUGUUCUGCAGGUAGGGCUGGGCUUUUCAUUGACCAUGGGUUGGAAUAGUGCUGUGGGCAUAGUGUGUCUUCGAAGCCACUAUGUUUUCUGCACUUGUGACUAGAGAGCACCUUGAUAGCUCAGUUGGUAGAGCGGUGGACUGUAAGAUGCUCCUUGUGUGAAACGCUGUGAUCCUAAGUUCGCUGGUUCAACUCCAGCUCCAAGCACCUCCUUGUCAUUGGAAAUACCCCCAAGCCUUGUCUUUAUCUGUCAACUCCUCCAAAAUGUCAAAACACAAAGAAGAUAACUCUUUCUUAAAUUUUCAACCAUCAAUGUUUUAUUCACCCAGCCUAAAAGUCCUGAUUAUCAGUUCUGGGUCCCUGGCAAUGACUGUUGGGUACAAACUGCAAAGCUUUGUUCUGCAGGUAGGGCUGGGCUUUUCAUUGACCAUGGGUUGGAAUAGUUCUGUGGGCAUAGUGUGUCUUCGAAGCCACUAUGUUUUCUGCACUUGUGACUACAGAGCACCUUGAUAGCUCAGUUGGUAGAGCGGUGGACUGUAAGAUGCUCCUUGUGUGAAAUGCUGUGAUCCUAAGGUCGCUGGUUCAACUCCAGCUCCAAGCACCUCCUUGUCAUUGGAAAUACCCCAAAGCCUUGUCUUUAUCUGUCAACUCCUCCAAAAUGUCAAAACACAAAGACGAUAACUCUUUCUUAAAUUUUCAACCAUCAAUUUUUUAUUCACCCAGCCUAAAAGUCCUGAUUAUCAGUUCUGGGUCCCUGGCAAUGACUGUUGGGUACAAACUGCAAAGCUUUGUUCUGCAGGUAGGGCUGGGCUUUUCAUUGACCAUGGGUUGGAAUAGUUCUGUGGGCAUAGUGUGUCUUUGAAGCCACUAUGUUUUCUGCACUUGUGACUACAGAGCACCUUGAUAGCUCAGUUGGUAGAGCGGUGGACUGUAAGAUGCUCCUUGUGUGAAACGCCGUGAUCCUAAGGUCGCUGGUUCAACUCCAGCUCCAAGCACCUCCUUGUCAUUGGAAAUACCCCCAAGCCUUGUCUUUAUCUGUCAACUCCUCCAAAAUGUCAAAACACAAAGAAGAUAACUCUUUCUUAAAUUUUCAACCAUCAAUUUUUUAUUCACCCAGCCUAAAAGUCCUGAUUAUCAGUUCUGGGUCCCUGGCAAUGACUGUUGGGUACAAACUGCAAAGCUUUGUUCUGCGGAUAGGGCUGGGCUUUUCAUUGACCAUGGGUUGGAAUAGUUCUGUGGGCAUAGUGUGUCUUCGAAGCCACUAUGUUUUCUGCACUUGUGACUAGAGAGCACCUUGAUAGCUCAGUUGGUAGAGCGGUGGACUGUAAGAUGCUCCUUGUGUCAAACGCUGUGAUCCUAAGGUCGCUGGUUCAACUCCAGCUCCAAGCACCUCCUUGUCAUUGGAAAUACCCCAAAGCCUUGUCUUUAUCUGUCAACUCCUCCAAAAUGUCAAAACACAAAGAAGAUAACUCUUUCUUAAAUUUUCAACCAUCAAUUUUUUAUUCACCCAGCCUAAAAGUCCUGAUUAUCAGUUCUGGGUCCCUGGCAAUGACUGUUGGGUACAAACUGCAAAGCUUUGUUCUGCAGGUAGGGCUGGGCUUUUCAUUGACCAUGGGUUGGAAUAGUUCUGUGGGCAUAGUGUGUCUUCGAAGCCACUAUGUUUUCUGCACUUGUGACUAGAGAGCACCUUGAUAGCUCAGUUGGUAGAGCGGUGGACUGUAAGAUGCUCCUUGUGGGAAACGCCGUGAUCCUAAGUUCGCUGGUUCAACUCCAGCUCCAAGCACCUCCUUGUCAUUGGAAAUACCCCAAAGCCUUGUCUUUAUCUGUCAACUCCUCCAAAAUGUCAAAACACAAACAAGAUAACUCUUUCUUAAAUUUUCAACCAUCAAUUUUUUAUUCACCCAGACUAAAAGUCCUGAUUAUCAGUUCUGGGUCCCUGGCAAUGACUGUUGGGUACAAACUGCAAAGCUUUGUUCUGCAGGUAGGGCUGGGCUUUUAAUUGACCAUGGGUUGGAAUAGUUCUGUGGGCAUAGUGUGUCUUCGAAGCCACUAUGUUUUCUGCACUUGUGACUAGAGAGCACCUUGAUAGCUCAGUUGGUAGAGCGGUGAACUGUAAGAUGCUCCUUGUGUGAAACGCUGUGAUCCUCAGGUCGCUGGUUAAACUCCAGCUCCAAGCACCUCCUUGUCAUUGGAAAUACCCCCAAGCCUUGUCUUUAUCUGUCAACUCCUCCAAAAUGUCAAAACACAAAGAAGAUUACUCUUUCUUAAAUUUUCAACCAUCAAUUUUUUAUUCACCCAGCCUAAAAGUCCUGAUUAUCAGUUCUGGGUCCCUGGCAAUGACUGUUGGGUACAAACUGCAAAGCUUUGUUCUGCAGGUAGGGCUGGGCUUUUCAUUGACCAUGGGUUGGAAUAGUUCUGUGGGCAUAGUGUGUCUUCGAAGCCACUAUGUUUUCUGCACUUGUGACUAGAGAGCACCUUGAUAGCUCAGUUGGUAGAGCGGUGGACUGUAAGAUGCUCCUUGUGUGAAACGCUGUGAUCCUAAGGUCGCUGGUUCAACUCCAGCUCCAAGCACCUCCUUGUCAUUGGAAAUACCCCAAAGCCUUGUCUUUAUCUGUCAACUCCUCCAAAAUGUCAAAACACAAAGAAGAUAACUCUUUCUUAAAUUUUCAACCAUCAAUGUUUUAUUCACCCAGUCUAAAAGUCCUGAUUAUCAGUUCUGGGUCCCUGGCAAUGACUGUUGGGUACAAACUGCAAAGCUUUGUUCUGCAGGUAGGGCUGGGCUUUUCAUUGACCAUGGGUUGGAAUAGUUCUGUGGGCAUAGUGUGUCUUCGAAACCACUAUGUUUUCUGCACUUGUGACUAGAGAGCACUUUGAUAGCUCAGUUGGUAGAGCGGUGCACUGUAAGAUGCUCCUUGUGUGAAACGCUGUGAUCCUAAGGUCGCUGGUUCAACUCCAGCUCCAAGCACCUCCUUGUCAUUGGAAAUACCCCCAAGCCUUGUCUUUAUCUGUCAACUCCUCCAAAAUGUCAAAACACAAAGAAGAUAACUCUUUCUUAAAUUUUCAACCAUCAAUGUUUUAUUCACCCAGCCUAAAAGUCCUGAUUAUCAGUUCUGGGUCCCUGGCAAUGACUGUUGGGUACAAACUGCAAAGCUUUGUUCUGCAGGUAGGGCUGGGCUUUUCAUUGACCAUGGGUUGGAAUAGUUCUGUGGGCAUAGUGUGUCUUCGAAGCCACUAUGUUUUCUGCACUUGCGACUAGAGAGCACCUUGAUAGAGAGCGGUGGACUGUAAGAUGCUCCUUGUGUGAAACGCUGUGAUCCUAAGGUCGCUGGUUCAACUCCAGCUCCAAGCACCUCCUUGUCAUUGGAAAUACCCCCAAGCCUUGUCUUUAUCUGUCAACUCCUCCAAAAUGUCAAAACACAAAGAAGAUAACUCUUUCUUAAAUUUUCAACCAUCAAUGUUUUAUUCACCCAGCCUAAAAGUCCUGAUUAUCAGUUCUGGGUCCCUGGCAAUGACUGUUGGGUACAAACUGCAAAGCUUUGUUCUGCAGGUAGGGCUGGGCUUUUCAUUGACCAUGGGUUGGAAUAGUUCUGUGGGCAUAGUGUGUCUUCGAGGCCACUAUGUUUUCUGCACUUGUGACUAGAGAGCACCUUGAUAGCUCAGUUGGUAGAGCGGUGGACUGUAAGAUGCUCCUUGUGUGAAACGCUGUGAUCCUAAGUUCGCUGGUUCAACUCCAGCUCCAAGCACCUCCUUGUCAUUGGAAAUACCCCCAAGCCUUUUCUUUAUCUGUCAACUCCUCCAAAAUGUCAAAACACAAAGAAGAUAACUCUUUCUUAAAUUUUCAACCAUCAAUGUUUUAUUCACCCAGUCUAAAAGUCCUGAUUAUAAGUUCUGGGUCCCUGGCAAUGACUGUUGGGUACAAACUGCAAAGCUUUGUUCUGCAGGUAGGGCUGGGCUUUUCAUUGACCAUGGGUUGGAAUAGUUCUGUGGGCAUAGUGUGUCUUCGAAGCCACUAUGUUUUCUGCACUUGUGACUAGAGAGCACUUUGAUAGCUCAGUUGGUAGAGCGGUGCACUGUAAGAUGCUCCUUGUGUGAAACGCUGUGAUCCUAAGUUCGCUGGUUCAACUCCAGCUCCAAGCACCUCCUUGUCAUUGGAAAUACCCCCAAGCCUUUUCUUUAUCUGUCAACUCCUCCAAAAUGUCAAAACACAAAGAAGAUAACUCUUUCUUAAAUUUUCAACCAUCAAUGUUUUAUUCACCCAGUCUAAAAGUCCUGAUUAUAAGUUCUGGGUCCCUGGCAAUGACUGUUGGGUACAAACUGCAAAGCUUUGUUCUGCAGGUAGGGCUGGGCUUUUCAUUGACCAUGGGUUGGAAUAGUUCUGUGGGCAUAGUGUGUCUUCGAAGCCACUAUGUUUUCUGCACUUGUGACUAGAGAGCACUUUGAUAGCUCAGUUGGUAGAGCGGUGCACUGUAAGAUGCUCCUUGUGUGAAACGCUGUGAUCCUAAGUUCGCUGGUUCAACUCCAGCUCCAAGCACCUCCUUGUCAUUGGAAAUACCCCCAAGCCUUGUCUUUAUCUGUCAACUCCUCCAAAAUGUCAAAACACAAAGAAGAUAACUCUUUCUUAAAUUUUCAACCAUCAAUGUUUUAUUCACCCAGUCUAAAAGUCCUGAUUAUCAGUUCUGGGUCCCUGGCAAUGACUGUUGGGUACAAACUGCAAAGCUUUGUUCUGCAGGUAGGGCUGGGCUUUUCAUUGACCAUGGGUUGGAAUAGUUCUGUGGGCAUAGUGUGUCUUCGAAGCCACUAUGUUUUCUGCACUUGUGACUAGAGAGCACCUUGAUAGCUCAGUUGGUAGAGCGGUUGACUGUAAGAUGCUCCUUGUGUGAAACGCUGUGAUCCUAAGGUCGCUGGUUCAACUCCAGCUCCAAGCACCUCCUUGUCAUUGGAAAUACCCCCAAGCCUUGUCUUUAUCUGUCAACUCCUCCAAAAUGUCAAAACACAAAGAAGAUAACUCUUUCUUAAAUUUUCAACCAUCAAUGUUUUAUUCACCCAGUCUAAAAGUCCUGAUUAUCAGUUCUGGGUCCCUGGCAAUGACUGUUGGGUACAAACUGCAAAGCUUUGUUCUGCAGGUAGGGCUGGGCUUUUCAUUGACCAUGGGUUGGAAUAGUUCUGUGGGCAUAGUGUGUCUUCGAAGUCACUAUGUUUUCUGCACUUGUGACUAGAGAGCACCUUGAUAGCUCAGUUGGUAGAGCGGUGGACUGUAAGAUGCUCCUUGUGUGAAACGCUGUGAUCCUAAGGUCGCUGGUUCAACUCCAGCUCCAAGCACCUCCUUGUCAUUGGAAAUACCCCCAAGCCUUGUCUUUAUCUGUCAACUCCUCCAAAAUGUCAAAACACAAAGAAGAUAACUCUUGCUUAAAUUUUCAACCAUCAAUGUUUUAUUCACCCAGCCUAAAAGUCCUGAUUAUCAGUUCUGGGUCCCUGGCAAUGACUGUUGGGUACAAACUGCAAAGCUUUGUUCUGCAGGUAGGGCUGGGCUUUUCAUUGACCAUGGGUUGGAAUAGUUCUGUGGGCAUAGUGUGUCUUCGAAGCCACUAUGUUUUCUGCACUUGUGACUAGAGAGCACCUUGAUAGCUCAGUUGGUAGAGCGGUGGACUGUAAGAUGCUCCUUGUGUGAAACGCUGUGAUCCUAAGGUCGCUGGUUCAACUCCAGCUCCAAGCACCUCCUUGUCAUUGGAAAUACCCCCAAGCCUUGUCUUUAUCUGUCAACUCCUCCAAAAUGUCAAAACACAAAGAAGAUAACUCUUGCUUAAAUUUUCAACCAUCAAUGUUUUAUUCACCCAGCCUAAAAGUCCUGAUUAUCAGUUCUGGGUCCCUGGCAAUGACUGUUGGGUACAAACUGCAAAGCUUUGUUCUGCAGGUAGGGCUGGGCUUUUCAUUGACCAUGGGUUGGAAUAGUUCUGUGGGCAUAGUGUGUCUUCGAAGCCACUAUGUUUUCUGCACUUGUGACUAGAGAGCACCUUGAUAGCUCAGUUGGUAGAGCGGUGGACUGUAAGAUGCUCCUUGUGUGAAACGCUGUGAUCCUAAGGUCGCUGGUUCAACUCCAGCUCCAAGCACCUCCUUGUCAUUGGAAAUACCCCCAAGCCUUGUCUUUAUCUGUCAACUCCUCCAAAAUGUCAAAACACAAAGAAGAUAACUCUUUCUUAAAUUUUCAACCAUCAAUGUUUUAUUCACCCAGCCUAAAAGUCCUGAUUAUCAGUUCUGGGUCCCUGGCAAUGACUGUUGGGUACAAACUGCAAAGCUUUGUUCUGCAGGUAGGGCUGGGCUUUUCAUUGACCAUGGGUUGGAAUAGUUCUGUGGGCAUAGUGUGUCUUCGAAGCCACUAUGUUUUCUGCACUUGUGACUAGAGAGCACCUUGAUAGCUCAGUCGUUAGAGCGGUGGACUGUAAGAUGCUCCUUGUGUCAAACGCAGUGAUCCUAAGGUCGCUGGUUCAACUCCAGCUCCAAGCACCUCCUUGUCAUUGGAAAUACCCCCAAGCCUUGUCUUUAUCUGUCAACUCCUCCAAAAUGUCAAAACACAAACAAGAUAACUCUUUCUUAAAUUUUCAACCAUCAAUUUUUUAUUCACCCAGCCUAAAAGUCCUGAUUAUCAGUUCUGGCUCCCUGGCAAUGACUGUUGGGUACAAACUGCAAAUCUUUGUUCUGCAGGUAGGGCUGGGCUUUUCAUUGACCAUGGGUUGGAAUAGUUCUGUGGGCAUAGUGUGUCUUCGAAGCCACUAUGUUUUCUGCACUUGUGACUAGAGAGCACCUUGAUAGCUCAGUUGGUAGAGCGGUGGACUGUAAGAUGCUCCUUGUGUCAAACGCCGUGAUCCUAAGGUCGCUGGUUCAACUCCAUCUCCAAGCAGCUCCUUGUCAUUGGAAAUACCCCCAAGCCUUGUCUUUAUCUGUCAACUCCUCCAAAAUGUCAAAACACAAACAAGAUAACUCUUUCUUAAAUUUUCAACCAUCAAUUUUUUAUUCACCCAGCCUAAAAGUCCUGAUUAUCAGUUCUGGGUCCCUGGCAAUGACUGUUGGGUAAAAACUGCAAAGCUUUGUUCUGCAGGUAGGGCUGGGCUUUUCAUUGACCAUGGGUUGGAAUAGUUCUGUGGGCAUAGUGUGUCUUCGAAGCCACUAUGUUUUCUGCACUUGUGACUAGAGAGCACCUUGAUAGCUCAGUUGGUAGAGCGGUGGACUGUAAGAUGCUCCUUGUGUGAAACGCUGUGAUCCUAAGGUCGUUGGUUCAACUCCAGCUCCAAGCACCUCCUUGUCAUUGGAAAUACCCCCAAGCCUUGUCUUUAUCUGUCAACUCCUCCAAAAUGUCAAAACACAAAGAAGAUAACUCUUUCUUAAAUUUUCAACCAUCAAUUUUUUAUUCACCCAGCCUAAAAGUCCUGAUUAUCAGUUCUGGGUCCCUGGCAAUGACUGUUGGGUACAAACUGCAAAUCUUUGUUCUGCAGGUAGGGCUGGGCUUUUCAUUGACCAUGGGUUGGAAUAGUUCUGUGGGCAUAGUGUGUCUUCGAAGCCACUAUGUUUUCUGCACUUGUGACUAGAGAGCACCUUGAUAGCUCAGUUUGUAGAGCGGUGGACUGUAAGAUGCUCCUUGUGUGAAACGCUGUGAUCCUAAGGUCGCUGGUUCAACUCCAGCUCCAAGCACCUCCUUGUCAUUGGAAAUACCCCAAAGCCUUGUCUUUAUCUGUCAACUCCUCCAAAAUGUCAAAACACAAAGAAGAUAACUCUUUCUUAAAUUUUCAACCAUCAAUUUUUUAUUCACCCAGCCUAAAAGUCCUGAUUAUCAGUUCUGGGUCCCUGGCAAUGACUGUUGGGUACAAACUGCAAAGCUUUGUUCUGCAGGUAGGGCUGGGCUUUUCAUUGACCAUGGGUUGGAAUAGUUCUGUGGGCAUAGUGUGUCUUCGAAGCCACUAUGUUUUCUGCACUUGUGACUAGAGAGCACCUUGAUAGCUCAGUUGGUAGAGCGGUGGACUGUAAGAUGCUCCUUGUGUCAAACGCCGUGAUCCUAAGGUCGCUGGUUCAACUCCAUCUCCAAGCAGCUCCUUGUCAUUGGAAAUACCCCCAAGCCUUGUCUUUAUCUGUCAACUCCUCCAAAAUGUCAAAACACAAAGAAGAUAACUCUUUCUUAAAUUUUCAACCAUCAAUUUUUUAUUCACCCAGCCUAAAAGUCCUGAUUAUCAGUUCUGGGUCCCUGGCAAUGACUGUUGGGUACAAACUGCAAAGCUUUGUUCUGCAGGUAGGGCUGGGCUUUUCAUUGACCAUGGGUUGGAAUAGUUCUGUGGGCAUAGUGUGUCUUCGAAGCCACUAUGUUUUCUGCACUUGUGACUAGAGAGCACCUUGAUAGCUCAGUUGGUAGAGCGGUGGACUGUAAGAUGCUCCUUGUGUCAAACGCCGUGAUCCUAAGGUCGCUGGUUCAACUCCAUCUCCAAGCAGCUCCUUGUCAUUGGAAAUACCCCCAAGCCUUGUCUUUAUCUGUCAACUCCUCCAAAAUGUCAAAACACAAAGAAGAUAACUCUUUCUUAAAUUUUCAACCAUCAAUGUUUUAUUCACCCAGCCUAAAAGUCCUGAUUAUCAGUUCUGGGUCCCUGGCAAUGACUGUUGGGUACAAACUGCAAAGCUUUGUUCUGCAGGUAGGGCUGGGCUUUUCAUUGACCAUGGGUUGGAAUAGUUCUGUGGGCAUAGUGUGUCUUCGAAGCCACUAUGUUUUCUGCACUUGUGACUAGAGAGCACCUUGAUAGCUCAGUCGUUAGAGCGGUGGACUGUAAGAUGCUCCUUGUGUGAAACGCAGUGAUCCUAAGGUCGCUGGUUCAACUCCAGCUCCAAGCACCUCCUUGUCAUUCGAAAUACCCCCAAGCCUUGUCUUUAUCUGUCAACUCCUCCAAAAUGUCAAAACACAAACAAGAUAACUCUUUCUUAAAUUUUCAACCAUCAAUUUUUUAUUCACCCAGCCUAAAAGUCCUGAUUAUCAGUUCUGGGUCCCUGGCAAUGACUGUUGGGUACAAACUGCAAAUCUUUGUUCUGCAGGUAGGGCUGGGCUUUUCAUUGACCAUGGGUUGGAAUAGUUCUGUGGGCAUAGUGUGUCUUCGAAGCCACUAUGUUUUCUGCACUUGUGACUAGAGAGCACCUUGAUAGCUCAGUUUGUAGAGCGGUGGACUGUAAGAUGCUCCUUGUGUGAAACGCUGUGAUCCUAAGGUCUCUGGUUCAACUCCAGCUCCAAGCACCUCCUUGUCAUUGGAAAUACCCCCAAGCCUUGUCUUUAUCUUUCAACUCCUCCAAAAUGUCAAAACACAAAGAAGAUAACUCUUUCUUAAAUUUUCAACCAUCAAUUUUUUAUUCACCCAGCCUAAAAGUCCUGAUUAUCAGUUCUGGGUCCCUGGCAAUGACUGUUGGGUACAAACUGCAAAGCUUUGUUCUGCAGGUAGGGCUGGGCUUUUCAUUGACCAUGGGUUGGAAUAGUUCUGUGGGCAUAGUGUGUCUACGAAGCCACUAUGUUUUCUGCACUUGUGACUAGAGAGCACCUUGAUAGCUCAGUUGGUAGAGCGGUGGACUGUAAGAUGCUCCUUGUGUGAAACGCUGUGAUCCUAAGGUCGCUGGUUCAACUCCAGCUCCAAGCAGCUCCUUGUCAUUGUAAAUACCCCCAAGCCUUGUCUUUAUCUGUCAACUCCUCCAAAAUGUCAAAACACAAAGAAGAUAACUCUUUCUUAAAUUUUCAACCAUCAAUUUUUUAUUCACCCAGCCUAAAAGUCCUGAUUAUCAGUUCUGGGUCCCUGGCAAUGACUGUUGGGUACAAACUGCAAAGCUUUGUUCUGCAGGUAGGGCUGGGCUUUUCAUUGACCAUGGGUUGGAAUAGUUCUGUGGGCAUAGUGUGUCUACGAAGCCACUAUGUUUUCUGCACUUGUGACUAGAGAGCACCUUGAUAGCUCAGUUGGUAGAGCGGUGGACUGUAAGAUGCUCCUUGUGUGAAACGCUGUGAUCCUAAGGUCGCUGGUUCAACUCCAGCUCCAAGCACCUCCUUGUCAUUGGAAAUACCCCAAAGCCUUGUCUUUAUCUGUCAACUCCUCCAAAAUGUCAAAACACAAAUAAGAUAACUCUUUCUUAAAUUUUCAACCAUCAAUUUUUUAUUCACCCAGCCUAAAAGUCCUGAUUAUCAGUUCUGGGUCCCUGGCAAUGACUGUUGGGCACAAACUGCAAAGCUUUGUUCUGCAGGUAGGGCUGGGCUUUUCAUUGACCAUGGGUUGGAAUAUUUCUGUGGGCAUAGUGUGUCUUCGAAGCCACUAAGUUUUCUGCACUUGUGACUAGAGAGCACCUUGAUAGCUCAGUUGGUAGAGCGGUGGACUGUAAGAUGCUCCUUGUGUGAAACGCUGUGAUCCUAAGGUCGCUGGUUCAACUCCAGCUCCAAGCACCUCCUUGUCAUUGGAAAUACCCCCAAGCCUUGUCUUUAUCUGUCAACUCCUCCAAAAUGUCAAAACACAAACAAGAUAACUCUAUCUUAAAUUUUCAACCAUCAAUUUUUUAUUCACCCAGCCUAAAAGUCCUGAUUAUCAGUUCUGGGUCCCUGGCAAUGACUGUUGGGUACAAACUGCAAAGCUUUGUUCUGCAGGUAGGGCUGGGCUUUUCAUUGACCAUGGGUUGGAAUAGUGCUGUGGGCAUAGUGUGUCUUCGAAGCCACUAUGUUUUCUGCACUUGUGACUAGAGAGCACUUUGAUAGCUCAGUUGGUAGAGCGGUGCACUGUAAGAUGCUCCUUGUGUGAAACGCUGUGAUCCUAAGUUCGCUGGUUCAACUCCAGCUCCAAGCACCUCCUUGUCAUUGGAAAUACCCCCAAGCCUUGUCUUUAUCUGUCAACUCCUCCAAAAUGUCAAAACACAAAGAAGAUAACUCUUUCUUAAAUUUUCAACCAUCAAUUUUUUAUUCACCCAGCCUAAAAGUCCUGAUUAUCAGUUCUGGGUCCCUGGCAAUGACUGUUGGGUACAAACUGCAAAGCUUUGUUCUGCAGGUAGGGCUGGGCUUUUCAUUGACCAUGGGUUGGAAUAGUUCUGUGGGUAUAGUGUGUCUUCGAAGCCACUAUGUUUUCUGCACUUGUGACUAGAGAGCACCUUGAUAGCUCAGUUGGUAGAGCGGUGGACUGUAAGAUGCUCCUUGUGUCAAACGCCGUGAUCCUAAGGUGGCUGGUUCAACUCCAUCUCCAAGCAGCUCCUUGUCAUUGGAAAUACCCCCAAGCCUUGUCUUUAUCUGUCAACUCCUCCAAAAUGUCAAAACACAAAGAAGAUAACUCUUUCUUAAAUUUUCAACCAUCAAUUUUUUAUUCACCCAGCCUAAAAGUCCUGAUUAUCAGUUCUGGGUCCCUGGCAAUGACUGUUGGGUACAAACUGCAAAGCUUUGUUCUGCAGGUAGGGCUGGGCUUUUCAUUGACCAUGGGUUGGAAUAGUUCUGUGGGCAUAGUGUGUCUUCGAAGCCACUAUGUUUUCUGCACUUGUGACUAGAGAGCACCUUGAUAGCUCAGUCGUUAGAGCGGUGGACUGUAAGAUGCUCCUUGUGUGAAACGCAGUGAUCCUAAGGUCGCUGGUUCAACUCCAGCUCCAAGCACCUCCUUGUCAUUGGAAAUACCCCCAAGCCUUGUCUUUAUCUGUCAACUCCUCCAAAAUGUCAAAACACAAACAAGAUAACUCUUUCUUAAAUUUUCAACCAUCAAUUUUUUAUUCACCCAGCCUAAAAGUCCUGAUUAUCAGUUCUGGGUCCCUGGCAAUGACUGUUGGGUACAAACUGCAAAUCUUUGUUCUGCAGGUAGGGCUGGGCUUUUCAUUGACCAUGGGUUGGAAUAGUUCUGUGGGCAUAGUGUGUCUUCGAAGCCACUAUGUUUUCUGCACUUGUGACUAGAGAGCACCUUGAUAGCUCAGUUGGUAGAGCGGUGGACUGUAAGAUGCUCCUUGUGUCAAACGCCGUGAUCCUAAGGUCGCUGGUUCAACUCCAGCUCCAAGCAGCUCCUUGUAAUUGGAAAUACCCCCAAGCCUUGUCUUUAUCUGUCAACUCCUCCAAAAUGUCAAAACACAAAGAAGAUAACUCUUUCUUAAAUUUUCAACCAUCAAUUUUUUAUUCACCCAGCCUAAAAGUCCUGAUUAUCAGUUCUGGGUCCCUGGCAAUGACUGUUGGGUACAAACUGCAAAGCUUUGUUCUUCAGGUAGGGCUGGGCUUUUCAUUGACCAUGGGUUGGAAUAGUUCUGUGGGCAUAGUGUGUCUUCGAAGCCACUAUGUUUUCUGCACUUGUGACUAGAGAGCACCUUGAUAGCUCAGUUUGUAGAGCGGUGGACUGUAAGAUGCUCCUUGUGUGAAACGCUGUGAUCCUAAGGUCUCUGGUUCAACUCCAGCUCCAAGCACCUCCUUGUCAUUGGAAAUACCCCCAAGCCUUGUCUUUAUCUUUCAACUCCUCCAAAAUGUCAAAACACAAAGAAGAUAACUCUUUCUUAAAUUUUCAACCAUCAAUUUUUUAUUCACCCAGCCUAAAAGUCCUGAUUAUCAGUUCUGGGUCCCUGGCAAUGACUGUUGGGUACAAACUGCAAAGCUUUGUUCUGCAGGUAGGGCUGGGCUUUUCAUUGACCAUGGGUUGGAAUAGUUCUGUGGGCAUAGUGUGUCUACGAAGCCACUAUGUUUUCUGCACUUGUGACUAGAGAGCACCUUGAUAGCUCAGUUGGUAGAGCGGUGGACUGUAAGAUGCUCCUUGUGUGAAACGCUGUGAUCCUAAGGUGGCUGGUUCAACUCCAGCUCCAAGCACCUCCUUGUCAUUGGAAAUACCCCCAAGCCUUGUCUUUAUCUGUCAACUCCUCCAAAAUGUCAAAACACAAACAAGAUAACUCUAUCUUAAAUUUUCAACCAUCAAUUUUUUAUUCACCCAGCCUAAAAGUCCUGAUUAUCAGUUCUGGGUCCCUGGCAAUGACUGUUGGGUACAAACUGCAAAGCUUUGUUCUGCAGGUAGGGCUGGGCUUUUCAUUGACCAUGGGUUGGAAUAGUGCUGUGGGCAUAGUGUGUCUUCGAAGCCACUAUGUUUUCUGCACUUGUGACUAGAGAGCACCUUGAUAGCUCAGUUGGUAGAGCGGUGGACUGUAAGAUGCUCCUUGUGUGAAACGCUGUGAUCCUAAGGUGGCUGGUUCAACUCCAGCUCCAAGCACCUCCUUGUCAUUGGAAAUACCCCAAGCCUUGUCUUUAUCUGUCAACUCCUCCAAAAUGUCAAAACACAAAGAAGAUAACUCUUUCUUAAAUUUUCAACCAUCAAUGUUUUAUUCACCCAGCCUAAAAGUCCUGAUUAUCAGUUCUGGGUCCCUGGCAAUGACUGUUGGGUACAAACUGCAAAGCUUUGUUCUGCAGGUAGGGCUGGGCUUUUCAUUGACCAUGGGUUGGAAUAGUUCUGUGGGCAUAGUGUGUCUUCGAAGCCACUAUGUUUUCUGCACUUGUGACUAGAGAGCACCUUGAUAGCUCAGUUGGUAGAGCGGUGGACUGUAAGAUGCUCCUUGUGUGAAACGCUGUGAUCCUAAGGUGGCUGGUUCAACUCCAGCUCCAAGCACCUCCUUGUCAUUGGAAAUACCCCCAAGCCUUGUCUUUAUCUGUCAACUCCUCCAAAAUGUCAAAACACAAAGAAGAUAACUCUUUCUUAAAUUUUCAACCAUCAAUGUUUUAUUCACCCAGCCUAAAAGUCCUGAUUAUCAGUUCUGGGUCCCUGGCAAUGACUGUUGGGUACAAACUGCAAAGCUUUGUUCUGCAGGUAGGGCUGGGCUUUUCAUUGACCAUGGGUUGGAAUAGUUCUGUGGGCAUAGUGUGUCUUCGAGGCCACUAUGUUUUCUGCACUUGUGACUACAGAGCACCUUGAUAGCUCAGUUGGUAGAGCGGUGGACUGUAAGAUGCUCCUUGUGUGAAACGCCGUGAUCCUAAGGUCGCUGGUUCAACUCCAGCUCCAAGCACCUCCUUGUCAUUGGAAAUACCCCCAAGCCUUGUCUUUAUCUGUCAACUCCUCCAAAAUGUCAAAACACAAAGAAGAUAACUCUUUCUUAAAUUUUCAACCAUCAAUUUUUUAUUCACCCAGCCUAAAAGUCCUGAUUAUCAGUUCUGGGUCCCUGGCAAUGACUGUUGGGUACAAACUGCAAAGCUUUGUUCUGCAGGUAGGGCUGGGCUUUUCAUUGACCAUGGGUUGGAAUAGUUCUGUGGGCAUAGUGUGUCUACGAAGCCACUAUGUUUUCUGCACUUGUGACUAGAGAG
rnacentral:lncRNA from 1 species